rnacentral:rRNA from 1 species
UACGGAGGGUGCGAGCGUUGUCCGGAAUCACUGGGCGUAAAGGGCGCGUAGGCGGCCUGGCAAGUCGGUGGUGAAAGCCCGGGGCUCAACCCCGGAACUGCCCUCGAAACUAGGUAGCUAGAAUCUUGGAGAGGUCAGUGGAAUUCCGAGUGUAGAGGUGAAAUUCGUAGAUAUUCGGAAGAACACCAGUGGCGAAGGCGACUGACUGGACAAGUAUUGACGCUGAGGUGCGAAAGCGUGGGGAGCAAACAGG